GGGGUUGUGGCUCAGCGGUAGAGUGCUCGCCUUGAAUGAGAGAGGCCCUGGGUUCGAUCGUCAGCACCACA
rnacentral:tRNA from 1 species